CCCAACGACCAUAUCACCCUGCAACUCUCAACUGAAAAGCCACUGAAGCUAAACAGGUGUGAGCCUGGUCAGUACCUGGAUGGGAGACCUCCUGGGAAAAACUAAGGUUUCUGCUGGAA
rnacentral:rRNA from 1 species